rnacentral:sRNA from 1 species
CAUAAGAAGAAGAAGAAAC